rnacentral:lncRNA from 10 species
CUGCAAGCUCCGCCUCCCGGGUUCACGCCAUUCUCCUGCCUCCGGCUUCCAAGUAGCUGGGAAUACAGGCGCCCGCCACCACGCCCGGCUAAUAUUUUUGUAUUUUUAGUAUAGACAGGGUUUCACCGUGUUAGCCAGGAUGGUCUUGAUCUCCUGACCUCGUGAUCCGCCCGCCUCGGCCUCCGAAAGCGCUGGGAUUACAGGCGUGAGCCACCGCGCCCGGCCAUUGCUUUCUUGCAGCAACUGGGGAUUGUUGGUAACUGAGGUGACUUAACAAUGAAACAAGUCAGAAAUGUCCUGAUAGAGACCAAAGGAAGACAAUAUUUCAGACUCCUCUGGAUUGUUCUGGAAGAGAAAAUGCAGAAACAGCAGGGAGCAGAAGAUAAACAGGCAAUCCGUGACUCAUUAAAACAAGCAUUGGUCGCCAACAUUGUGGAGUGUGUGAAGACCCCAGAUCCAACUCGCCUAUAAACUUUUUUUUACCAGCUGGACUUAGCAUCUGCCAGAGUUUGGAAAGAGAGAUAAUCUGGUACAAAUGAUUUCAGUGUGUCGCAUUUAUUAACCUGCCACCUUACAUAACUCUGCUGAUUGGGAACUCAGGGAAAUGUUUGAGCAAUGACACAGCUUAUUGUUGGAAUGUUACAACUUUACUAAUAAAGAUGCAAGUUACUGUUUAAAAAAAAAUACAAAGACCACAGAGCAAUUGGAAAAUAAAAAUGAAGCAAAGCUAAAAAGCAUCAUGGUCUUGAGAAAUGUACGUGCCAGAAAAAUAAUUGAAAUUCAGUUUGAAUUUUGAUCAUUUUCAGUGCUUUACAUCAAUUAGGCAGGAAAAGUAUUUUAUUUUUAAAUAGUUGUCACAUUAGUUUGUCUUAACAGCUUUGAUGUAAAUAAAUGCCAAACUGGGAGCAUUAUCAUGUCCUUUCCAAACUACUUACUGUUCUAAAUGAAUGAUUCGCUUCUGUUGUUAAAUCUCUGACAAUUGCUAGAAGGGCAUUUUCACAGUAGAACUGAAGGAAAAGUAAAAUAGUGCCCAUUUUUGUUUAUAUACAAAACCGUGUCCAUUUUUGUCUUAAACAGCCUGCCUGGCUUCACAGUUUAUUAAAGACAAAGAACAUUACCCCAGGAAUAAAAUCAGUACCGAUAACCUGCAUACUUUUCAUUCUUGGGCUUUGAUUUACUUCCUUUUUUGCCUCAAAGUUUGCUUGGGAUCAUUUGGUCAAGAGGUGGAAACACCAAAGAGCAAUUUUCUUUUUUCUAUUUCUUAUCCAGAUCUCAUGCCAGUAAUUUCAAAUUAAUGAGGAUGUUUACUCUCUGGUACAAAAUUUGCACAUACUAGCUUAUAAAAUAUGGAUAAGCUGGUUUCCUAUAACAAAAUAUAGCCCUACCAUUUCAAAAAUGAAAACUGCAGAGACUUUGGAAAAAAAUCAGCUGAAGGAAUUCUUCACGUUUCACAAUGGUUAGCCUAUUAUUUGUAGUUUUGAAACUUUAUUGGUCCCCAAUCUAAUCUUUUCUGAGUAUAAAAACAUUAACAUAUGGUUUAACACAGCACAGGGCUGGAAAGUCCAUAUCCCAAAUGCAUAUUGUAUGCAGGGUGACAUUCACACUAAAUACCAUCCCUCAGGGUCUGUACUCCAUUUUACCUGGGAUUGGAGAGCCAUGAAAUCCCUGGAAAAGUUGUUCAUGAGUCUGAACCAAAUGGUGUGCAGUGUACUGAGAUACUAACAGUCUAUGCUUCUGCCAAAGGUUGCGGCUCAAAUGUCUCUCUAAGUAACAUUAAAAAUCUGCUGCUUCAUGCCUAUGAAUUUCAAUAUUUAUAGCAUUCAAUAAAACGGUCCACUGUCAGAGAGAGAUGUGCCACUGUGCACUCUCUGAGCAGAUGGGCGGCAAUAUGGCACAUUUACAUGGACCAGCUGUGGAGCGCAGAAAUGGAUGCUGGUCAGGGGCAAGGUGCAGGCCCCACAUCUGGAAUUCUAACCGACUGGCCUCGGUACCCAUUGUAAACUUUCCUUCCACAGGGUGAGCUCUGAUUUAGAGCUGCUCACUAGUGUGCCUUAAACUGCAUCAAGAGUCCUCAUUAACGCAAGAGACUAGAGGGAGGUUAGGGCCUGGAAUCCCUCUGUCGGGCAUCUGUUAGAGUCUGUGGAUGGCACUCUGUAGUCGUUAUAGAUGCACCCAGGGGAAGAUUCUCUCAGGCAUGAUGCAGUGUUCUCUAUUUAACUGAUUUUAUACCCCCAAAAAAGAGGUUUUUAUUAUAAACAGAGCUACUUUUUCCAUAUCCCCUUUUCUAAAUGGAUCAGAAUAUACCUCAGAGAAAGGACAAUUUCUAGAAUAUUUAAAAAUUUCGUAGAAAUGUCGAAUUCUUUUUUCAAGUCUCAAAUGGAACGUUGUCUUAUUUUGGGUAGAAUCAGAAUGGUUCAAAUGCAGUUAGAAGUUUCUAAAAUAUAUGAAAUUCUUAGACUAGCUGUUUUCAUUGUAGUAUCACUAUUCAGACAAUCAAAACAGCUUAGUUGUGUGUCAUUUAAAUAAUUCAACUGACUUGAUAGAAAGGUAAGCUGCUUUUGACAUUUUAAAUAUGAACAAGAAAUGGUUUGUUACAUUCAAAUACUCAUCAGAAAUAACAUUCCUGUUUCAUUUUCAAUAAAUACUUUUAAGAGAAAGUUCUACUCAUUCUUUCAUUUUGUAAAAUAAUCUUUCCCACAUUUUCCAAUUAUUGACUAAGAUGUAUUUGGUCUUCAGUGGUCCCAUCUCUUGAAUAGUUGUUUAUAUCCUUACGUUACUGAGUAUUCAUUUUCUAUGACAAUCUCUCAAGAUCUAUUCCAGUCUCCUUUCACCCCCAAGAGAAACGCAGGUAUUUUAAGCAAGUGAGACAAUACAACUCGUUAUCAAAUGGGUUAUGGUAACUCAAUCAUGUAAUGUAUGGAUAUUUUAGGGUCUCAUCAUUCAACACUCAACUUUAAAACUACUCUGAAAUCUAAACAUAGAUAUGUAUUUAUGCUAUUUGGCCUCAAUCUUCAAAAAGGAAAAUUUUGGCCAGGCGCGUUGGCUCACGCCUGUAAUUCCAGCACUUUGAGAGGCCGAGGGGGGCAGAUCACCUGAGGUCAGGAGUUCGAGACCAGCCUGGCCAACACGGAGAAACCCCAUCUCUACCAAAAGUACAAAACUAGCCAGGCGUGGUGGCACGUGCCUGUAAUUCCAGCCACGCAGGAGGCUGAGGCAGGAGAAUAGCUUGAA